ensembl:lncRNA
AGCUGGGAAAACAGCUGUUUUCCUUCUCAUCAGUCACCUUGGAACUACUGAACUAUCAAUUAGUAGUGCUAAGUAAAAGCAUUGCGUAUGCAAAAUCGAUAGCUUUUUAGAGCACUUAUGUUUGCAGCAGAUACUGCCAUUGAAGAAAGGAAGAUAGACUUUUCAUAAAGGAAAGAGAAAAAGAGUAAAUUGUGAUAAGAUGAUGAACAAGGCUGCUUAUCUAGAAGACUUGCAGUGGUUACUAACUAAAGAGAGAAAGUACCUACCAUCUCGCGGUCAGAGGUGGUACUGCAGAUCUCUCAUUUCUCUGGAAAAUGGAGCAAUACGGUGGGAAUGAGCACACUUGUAGCUGUGGAGACUCAGCGGGGAGAUCCAAAGCUUUCUGCUACUAUUGAAUUACAGACAGCAGUUCUUCUCUCGAAGCCCUCUGUGAUCCUGUAUGAGGCAUCUUUCCCCAAGCAGUUGGCUUUGCUGCUCUUUCAUUUUGGUUAUCUGUGGUUCUGCUCAGAAGAAAUGUUCUUGUCAUACCUUCCUGUGAUUGAAUCCUUUGAUGCAGGUGAACGGAUGUAUGCUUGAAGUAGCUAUCCUACAGCUAUUACAUAUGGUGAGCAAUGUAUUUUCUGCUUCUCUCCUGACAUGCUGGUUAAAUGUGGAAUAGGGGAAAUUUUGCUGUUAUUGCUUGCUGUGGCACAUGCACGUUGUGUGGGGCAUGCGGCAGUGCUCAGAGAGAACGGGAAAGGAGGGAUAUGAUGAUGGUGAAGGCUUUGGAGGGCAAGAGGUGUGAGGAGCGGCUGAGGCCCCUGGGUGCGCUCAGCCCAGAGCGGAGGAGCUGAGGGGAGGCCUCACGGC